AUAAUGUUCAUAGAAGAAAAUGACUUAUUAAACAACACAAAGCAUGGCUUCCGUCCAGGAAGAAGCUGCCUCACACAGCUCUUACAAUACUAUGACUGGGUUUUGAAACAGCUGUUUGACCAUUCAGAUAUAAGGUAGAAUAUAAAAG